rnacentral:rRNA from 1 species
GUCCUUUUGUAUUUAUUUAAGGUCUAGUCUGCCCACUGAAUUUAAAUUUUAAAUGGCCGCAGUAUUUUGACUGUGCAAAGGUAGCAUAAUCAUUAGUUUUUUAAUUAAAAGCUUGUAUGAAAGGCUGGACGAGGUAAAAUCUGUCUCUAUUUAAAUUAUAAUAGAAUUUAACUUUUAAGUUAAAAGGCUUAAAUGUUAUUAAAAGACGAGAAGACCCUAUAGAUCUUUAUAAUUUAUUAAUUGAAAUUAAUUUAGAAUUAUUUAUAUUUUAUUUAAUUAAAUUAUUUUAUUGGGGUAAUAUAAAGAUUGAAUUAAUUCUUUUUUAUAAUAAACAUUAAUUUAUGAAUAUUAGAUGAUCCAGUUUUACUGAUUAUAAGAUUAAGUUACCUUAGGGAUAACAGCGUAAUUUUUUUAGAGAGUUCAUAUCGAUAAAAAAGUUUGCGACCUCGAUGUUGGAUUAAAGAUUAUUUUAGGUGUAGAAGCUUAAUAAUUUUGGUCUGUUCGACCAUUAAAUCUUUAC